rnacentral:rRNA from 1 species
AGUGAACGCUGGCGGCGUGGUUAAGACAUGCAAGUCGAACGGGAUUCGAUUGAUCGCAAGAAAGAUUGAUGAGAGUGGCAAACGGGUGAGUAACACGUAAACAACCUGCCCUUUAGUUGGGAAUAGCUCGUCGAAAGAUGAAUUAAUGCCGAAUGUGGUGGAUUUUCGCAUGAAAAUUCUACUAAAACUUGAAAUGGUGCUAGAGGAGGGGUUUGCGGCCUAUCAGCUUGUUGGCGGGGUAAAGGCCCACCAAGGCUAAGACGGGUAGCUGAUCUGAGAGGAUGAUCAGCCACAUUGGAACUGAGACACGGUCCAAACACCUACGGGUGGCAGCAGUUUCGAAUCAUUCACAAUGGACGAAAGUCUGAUGGUGCAACGCCGCGUGAGGGAUGAAGGCCUUCGGGUCGUAAACCUCUGUCGCUGAGGAGCAAACGUUAGGUUCAUAGCCUAACCUGAGUUAACUUAGAGAGGGAGCAGUGGCUAACUCCGUGCCAGCGGCCGCGGUAAUACGGAGACUGCGAGCGUUACUCGGAUUUACUGGGCGUAAAGGGUGCGCAGGUGGCCGCACGUGUCGGGUGUGAAAUCUCGGGGCUUAACCCCGAAAUUGCGCUCGAAACUGUGCGGCUGGAGUACUGGAGGGGCAAGCGGAAUUUCGAGUGUAGCAGUGAAAUGCGUAGAUAUUCGAAGGAACACCAAUGGCGAAGGCAGCUUGCUGGGCAGAAACUGACACUAAGGCACGAAAGCGUGGGGAGCAAAAAGGAUUAGAUACCCUUGUAGUCCACGCCGUAAACGUUGUACACUAGAUCUCGGGACAUUCGACCGUUUCGGGACCUAAGCUAACGCGAUAAGUGUACCGCCUGAGGACUACGGCCGCAAGGCUAAAACUCAAAGGAAUUGACGGGGGCCCGCACAAGCGGUGGAGCAUGUGGCUUAAUUCGAUGUAACGCGAAGAACCUUACCUAGAUUUGACAUGCGCUAGACGUACUGUGAAAGCAGUAUUCCCUUCGGGGCUGGCGCACAGGUGCUGCAUGGCUGUCGUCAGCUCGUGUCGUGAGAUGUUCGGUUAAGUCCGGUAACGAGCGCAACCCUCGUCCUUAUUUGCCAGCGGGUAAUGCCGGGAACUAUAGGGAGACUACCCUUUAAGGGAGGAAGGUGGGGAUGAUGUCAAGUCAGCAUGGCCCUUACGUCUAGGGCUGCACACGUGCUACAAUGCCCGAUACAAUGAGAAGCAACGCUGUGAAGCUGAGCAAAUCUACAAAAUCGGGCUCAGUUCAGAUUGAAGUCUGCAACUCGACUUCAUGAAGCCGGAAUCGCUAGUAAUGGCGUAUCAGCAACGACGCCGUGAAUACGUUCCCGGGCCUUGUACACACCGCCCGUCAAGUCAUGAAAGCCGGUUUUGCCCGAAGCAUGUGAGCUAACCGUAAGGAGGCAGCAUAUUAAGGUGAGGCUGGUGAUUGGGACU